AAGUCGAACGAUGAAGCCGGAGCUUGCUCUGGUGGAUUAGUGGCGAACGGGUGAGUAACACGUGAGUAACCUGCCCUUGACUCUGGAAUAAGCGUUGGAAACGACGUCUAAUACCGGAUACGAGCUUCAGCCGCAUGGCUAGGAGCUGGAAAGAAUUUCGGUCAAGGAUGGACUCGCGGCCUAUCAGGUAGUUGGUGAGGUAAUGGCUCACCAAGCCUACGACGGGUAGCCGGCCUGAGAGGGUGACCGGCCACACUGGAACUGAGACACGGUCCAGACUCCUACGGGAGGCAGCAGUGGGGAAUAUUGCACAAUGGGCGCAAGCCUGAUGCAGCAACGCCGCGUGAGGGACGACGGCCUUCGGGUUGUAAACCUCUUUUAGUAGGGAAGAAGCGAAAGUGACGGUACCUGCAGAAAAAGCACCGGCUAACUACGUGCCAGCAGCCGCGGUAAUACGUAGGGUGCAAGCGUUAUCCGGAAUUAUUGGGCGUAAAGAGCUCGUAGGCGGUUUGUCGCGUCUGCUGUGAAAACUGGGGGCUCAACCCCCAGCCUGCAGUGGGUACGGGCAGACUAGAGUGCGGUAGGGGAGAUUGGAAUUCCUGGUGUAGCGGUGGAAUGCGCAGAUAUCAGGAGGAACACCAAUGGCGAAGGCAGAUCUCUGGGCCGUUACUGACGCUGAGGAGCGAAAGCAUGGGGAGCGAACAGGAUUAGAUACCCUGGUAGUCCAUGCCGUAAACGUUGGGAACUAGAUGUAGGGGCCAUUCCACGGUUUCUGUGUCGCAGCUAACGCAUUAAGUUCCCCGCCUGGGGAGUACGGCCGCAAGGCUAAAACUCAAAGGAAUUGACGGG
rnacentral:rRNA from 1 species